ensembl:ncRNA lncRNA:CR44825 long non-coding RNA:CR44825
GUGGGAUCAGUUCGAGCAGAUGAAGUGCGAAUUUAAUUGUAACCGUUGUGCUUAUUCUUGGCCUGAGUGGAAUGAUCCGAUCCGUUGGCUCCGAGCUCUGGUACUCUUCUAAAGGCAUCGAUGGAGGCAGUCAGCGAAACAGCCUCUAAUCAGCAGUUGGACCCAGUCGUAAAUCCAGCGAUAAGCCGUGCUCUCCAUGCAUCUCAUCGCAGCUAAAAGAAACCAAUUUUGUGCGUUAGCUGGGCAAAAAGAGCGAGCUGCUGGUGAUUGUCACUUACCCGUGAGGGAAUCCGGAUCUCCGUUCGAUUUUCGGCUGAAAAUUUUCCACUUUGAUAAGAGAAGUUUCUAAGAAUUAAGAGAAUCGUCCGGGGAAAAUUCCUCAAGCGCUGUUUACACAAUGCAAUUCUUAUAC